AGAGCGAACGCUGGCGGCAGGCCUAACACAUGCAAGUCGAGCGCCCAGCAAUGGGAGCGGCAGACGGGAUAGUAACACGUGGGAACGUACCUUUCAGUUCGGAACAACCCAGGGAAACUUGGGCUAAUACCGAAUACGCCCGUAAGGGGAAAGAUUUAUCGCUGAAAGAUCGGCCCGCGUCUGAUUAGCUAGUUGGUGGGGUAAUGGCCCACCAAGGCGACGAUCAGUAGCUGGUCUGAGAGGAUGAUCAGCAUCACUGGGACUGAGACACGGCCCAGACUCCUACGGGAGGCAGCAGUGGGGAAUAUUGGACAAUGGGCGCAAGCCUGAUCCAGCCAUGCCGCGUGGAUGAUGAAGGCCCUAGGGUUGUAAAGUCCGUUUCGGCGGGGAAGAUAAGUGACGGUACCCGCAGAAGAAGCCCCGGCUAACUUCGUGCCAGCAGCCGC
rnacentral:rRNA from 1 species